AUAGCUUGCUUCUUUUCAAAGAGACUAAGUAUUUUGCAUUUUACUAAAUGUUUCCAUGGAAAGGACAAUGCACAGGUUGAAUACAGUUUUUGAGGCAGUUGAUGGUAGAUGC